rnacentral:rRNA from 1 species
UUUGCCAAAAGCUCCGGCGCCUUAGGAUGAGCCCGCAGCGGAUUAGGCUGUUGGUAGGGUAAUGGCCUACCAAACCGAAGAUCCGUAGGGGCCGUGAGAGCGGGAGCCCCCAGAUGGGUACUGAGACAAGGACCCAGGUCCUAAGGGACGCAGCAGGCGCGAAAACUCCGCAAUGCACGCAAGUGUGACGGGGGAACUCAGAGUGCUGCUGAAUUUUUUCAGUGGCUUUUCUGGUUUGUAAAUAGAACCAGGAAUAAGGGUUGGGUAAGACCGGUGCCAGCCGCCGCGGUAACACCGGCAACCCGAGUGGUGACCGCGAUUAUUGGGCCUAAAGCGUUCGUAGCCGGACUGUUAAGUUUCUUGGUAAAUCUGGCAGCUCAACUGUUAGACUUCAAGAAAUACUGACAGCCUUGGAGCCGGGCGAGGAUGCGGGUACUUCAGGGGUAGGGGUGAAAUCCACUGAUCCUUGAGGGACCACCUGUGGCGUAAGCGCGCAUCCAGAACGGACUCGACGGUGAGGAACGAAACCCUGGGGAGCAAACGGGAUUAGAUACCCCGGUAGUCCAGGGCGUAAACGAUGCUCGUUUGGUGUUGCAUGCUCUACGAGGGCGUGCAGUGCCGUAGCGUAGGUGUUUAACGAGCCGCCUGGGAAGUACGGUCGCAAGACUGAAACUUAAAGGAAUUGACGGGGGAGCACCACAAGGGGUGGAGUCUGCGGUUCAAUUGGAUUCAACGCCGGAAAUCUUACCGGGAUCGACAGCAGUAUGAUGGUCAGACUGAAGGUCUUACCUAACGCGCUGAGAGGAGGUGCAUGGCCGUCGUCAGCUAGUGCCGUGAGGUAUCCUGUUAAGUCAGGUAACUGGCGAGACCCGCAUCUCUUGUUGCUAGCCGGUUCUUCGGAAUCGGUGCACACUGGAGAGACCGCUGGUGAUAAACCAGAGGAAGGAGCGAGCAACGAUAGGUCAGUAUGCCCCGAAUUUCCCGGGCUACACGCGGACUACAAUGCGUAUGACAGAGGGUUGCGACGCCGAAAGGCGAAGCCAAUCCCGAAACGUACGCCCAGUUCAGAUCGAGGGCUGUAACUCGCCCUCGUGAAGCCGGAAUCCCCAGUAAUCGCGUAUCACUAAUGCGCGGUGAAAACGUCCCUGCUCCUUGUACACACCGCCCGUCAAGUCAUUCGAGUAAGCCUUGAGUGAGGGUGUAUCCCUGUGGUACAUUCGAAUUCGAGGUUUGCAAGAAGGGCUAAGUCGUAACAAGGU